rnacentral:tRNA from 1 species
GGGGCUAUAGCUCAGCUGGGAGAGCGCUUGACUGGCAGUCAAGAGGUCAUCGGUUCGAUCCCGUUUAGCUCCA